UAGGGGUCUCAGGGCCAGGAGCUCCCCCCUGAGCCCAGGCUAACCUUGAAAAUAGGGGGGCA
rfam:Fukomys damarensis contig141053, whole genome shotgun sequence.